rnacentral:lncRNA from 1 species
UUUGGUCAAACCCUUAUGAGAAUAGGAGAAGGAGUCAAAGGGUACAAGAGAUUUUAGUCCUCAAACUUAUUGUAUUCAAACAUAUUAUAAUUCCAAAAAACAGUAGACAAGCCAUUUAAUGCUUGAAAGCAAUCGUUGUGGGUUCUUAGCCCAUUUUUGCCCAAAUUUCAGCAAGUCUUUCUACACUCUUCGAAACACUCUUCAUGCAUUUCUAGAACUUGUAAUCAAUCAAAUUUAAUGUAUUCUAACCUAUUCUAAUCCCAAACAACAUUAAAAAGUCCAUUUAGUGGUGCAACGCAAUGUUUUCGAGUUCUUAGCCCAUUUGGGACCAAAUUUCAACAUGUCUUUCUCCAAACUUCUAAACACUCUUCAUGAUGCUCUAGCAGUUGUAAUCAAUCAAACUUAUUGUAUUCUAACAUAUUUCAAUCACAAAAAACAUUAUUCAAGCCAUUUAAUACUUGAAAGCAAUGGUUGUGGGUUCUUAGCUCAUUUCAGCCCAAAUUUCAGCAUGUCUUUCUACACUCUUCUAAACACUCUUCAUGCAUCUCUAAAACUUGUAAUAAAUCAAAUUUAAUGUAUUCUAACCUAUUCUAACCUUAAACAACAUUAAAAAGGCCAUUUAGUGGUGCAACGCAAUGUUUUCGAGUUCUUAGCCCAUUUGGGACCAAAUUUCAACAAGUCUUUCUCCAAACUUCUAAACACUCUUCAUGAUGCUCUAGCAUUUGUAAUCAAUCAAACUUAUUGUAUUCUAACAUAUUAUAAUUCCAAAAACAGUAGACAAGCCAUUUAAUGCUUGAAAGCAAUCGUUGUGGGUUCUUAGCCCAUUUUUGCCCAAAUUUCAGCAAGUCUUUCUACACUCUUCGAAACACUCUUCAUGCAUUUCUAGAACUUGUAAUCAAUCAAAUUUAAUGUAUUCUAACCUAUUCUAAUCCCAAACAACAUUAAAAAGUCCAUUUAGUGGUGCAACGCAAUGUUUUCGAGUUCUUAGC